CCUACGGGAGGCAGCAGUAGGGAAUUUUCCGCAAUGGGCGAAAGCCUGACGGAGCAAUACCGCGUGAGGGAUGACGGCCUGUGGGUUGUAAACCUCUUUUCUCAAGGAAGAAGUUCUGACGGUACUUGAGGAAUAAGCAUCGGCUAACUCUGUGCCAGCAGCCGCGGUAAUACAGAGGAUGCAAGCGUUAUCCGGAAUCACUGGGCAUAAAGCGUCUGUAGGUUGUUUAGUAAGUCUGCUGUUAAAGACUGGGGCUUAACCCCAGAAAAGCAGUGGAAACUGCUAGACUCGAGUGUGGUAGAGGUAGAGGGAAUUCCUAGUGUAGCGGUGAAAUGCGUAGAUAUUAGGAAGAACACCAAUGGCGAAGGCACUCUACUGGGCCAUAACUGACACUGAGAGACGACAGCUAGGGGAGCAAACGGGAUUAGAUACCCCGGUAGUCCUAGCCGUAAACGAUGGAUACUAGAUGUUGCACGUAUUAACCCGUGCAGUAUCGUAGCUAAGGCGUUAAGUAUCCCGCCUGGGAAGUACGCUCGCAAGAGNGACACAAGAAGUAGAGCGNGAGAGNGCGAGACGACGACGAGGAGAG
rnacentral:rRNA from 1 species